rnacentral:tmRNA from 1 species
GCCUGGGGUUGAAGCGUUAAAACGAAUCAGGCUAGUCUGGUAGUGGCGUGGCCGUCCGCAGGUGCCAGGCGGAUGUAAAGACUGACUAAGCAUGUAGUACCGAGGGUGUAGGGAUUUUGGACGCGGGUUCAACUCCCGCCAGCCCCACCA